AAUCUGACUUUAUACAUAUCAAUCUCUUGUACUUCUUGUUUAUUUUCAUUUCUUUUGGUUGAUUUUGUUUUUUUUUCUAUUUUGUCAUUAUGCUUUGAGGUAGCUCUCAUCUCAGUUUGGUGAAAUAAUGAAUUGAAGAUUGGGUUUGAACUUUGAACAAAUUAAAGACCUAUAUCAAUCCUACACAAACUGUUAUGAGGAGAAGAUUCAAGACAAUAAAAAAUUAUAGAGGAAAUUGCACAAGUCGAGGAAAAUAUCAUUGAAGAAAAUAUCAUUGAAGAGACAAACAAUAGAGAAGAAGAUAAAGGAACACCAAAGAGAAGAAGUCAUGGGAAAAUUUUGUGCAAGAAGAUUCAUGGAAGAACUCUAGAAGAGUGAGAAGAAGUGAUCAUUAUUGGGGAUGGUCAGUCUAUUAGGCCAAAUGAUAAAGUAGCAUCUGACUUAAUCUCUUCUUGGGAACAUUGGCUAGGAACUCGAUAUUUUUUCCUCUUAAACUAUACUUAAAGAAACUAUGUA